rnacentral:pre_miRNA from 1 species
UACUUACUCCCUCCAUCCGAAAAAGCUUGUCACAAGCUUGUCCUUCAAAUGGAUGUAUCUAGCACUAACUUGGUGUUAGAUACAUUUAUUUGAGGGAGAAGUUUUUACGGACGGAGGGAGCAUUUA